GGGGCGAAAAGCGUGGGGGGGCAAACACGGAAAAGAGACCCCGGGGGGGCCCCCCCCCUAAACCCAUAAAAAAUUGAAAUUUGGGGGGAGUUUGGGCCCCCCAGCAUUGAAAGCUAAAGCGUUAGGUUCACUGCCCCGGGGGGGGCGGGUUCGAGACUAAAAUUCAAAGGAAAUGAAGGGGGCCCGCACCCGCGCUGGGGUAUGUGGUUUUAUUUUAUGAAAAGCGAAGAACCUUACCUUGCCUUGACAUGUCCAGAUCUUUACAGAGAUGGAGUUGUGCCUUUGGGAACUCGAACACAGGAGCUGCGUUGCUGUAUUGAGCUCGUGUGUUGAGAUGUUGGGUUAAGUGCCGCAACGAGGGCAACCCCUCUCCUUUUUUCCCAGGACGUAAUGGUGGGAACUUUAAGGAGACCGCCGGUGACAAACCGGAGGAAGGUGGGGAUGAAGUCAAGUCAUCAUGGCCCUUAAGGCCAGGGCUACACACGUACUACAAUGGUAGGGACAAAGGGCUGCAAACCCGCGACGUUAAGCCAAUCCCAGAAACCUUAUUUCAGUUCGGAUUGGAGUUUGCAAAUUGACUCCAUGAAGUUGGAAUCGGUUGGAAUCGCAGGUCAGCAAUGCUGCGUGAAUACGUUCCCGGGCCUUGUACACACCGCCCGUCACACCAU
rnacentral:rRNA from 1 species